UAUAGGUCACGAAAAAAACAUCAACAGAGAUAAUUACCAAUGUCCAAUUGGACUCAGGGAGGUCAAAGUAAUGGGCCGCAUGUUGGGAGAUCUUGAAAAUGUACCAGAACCAGCAACGGAUUUAACCACUAUACAAACAGUUGAGGCAAGUGCAACUGAAACUAAAGAGAUUGGUAAAAAUGAAGAACUUCAGUGAGAAUAAAAUCUAACAUGUAAUCCUGUUACAUUGAUUGUAGAGGG